UAAGUAUAAGGGAAUGAAGUUCUCUCUUACACAUUGUAAAACCGCUUAUUAAGCUGAUGACUUCUGCAACACC
rnacentral:ncRNA from 2 species